rnacentral:rRNA from 1 species
UACAGAGGGUGCAAGCGUUGUUCGGAAUCAUUGGGCGUAAAGGGCGUGUAGGCGGCUGUUCAAGUCGAACGUGAAAACUCGGAGCUCAACUCCGAGCCUGCGUUCGAUACUGGACGGCUAGAGUCUGGUAGGGGGAUCUGGAAUUCCUGGUGUAGCGGUGGAAUGCGCAGAUAUCAGGAGGAACACCGGUGGCGAAGGCGGGAUCCUGGGCCAGUACUGACGCUGAGGAGCGAAAGCGUGGGGAGCAAACAGG